UCUAGACGUUCACUGUCACGAACAGGAGCUAGGAGGCACAGGUGUCUGCUGAGCUCCUGAAGAGUGGCUGUGCAAACUGAGAUCAAAAUACACACUGAAUUUUGAAGGUUCAGUAUGGAAACAAGAAUGUAAAAUAGCUCAACUGGAAGAUUGAACACAGUGCCUGAUAUCCAGAAGGUGCUCAAUAAUUGUAUGUGGACCUGAACUACUGUCUCAGCAGAUGAGUCUGACCUUGGGAUUUACUAAAGAUUAAGACCAAACAAAACCAGUGGUAAUGGCCGCUAAGGAGCAAUGUAAACAGUCAGUGACCAUCCGGACAGAGCCAGCUUGCUACUGGCUGUGUUCACAUCCUUCCUGGUCCCAUUGAGACAGCAGCCGCCAGACACACGGGCUCCCCUGAGUUAGAGGAGCCCUGUGAAAACACUCCUCAUGCCCUCAGUCCAUCCAACCAACUUUUCAGCCCUAGGGUUCGGUUCCAUCUCUCCAUCACGGGAUGACCAACACUGUCUCACUUGGCUGCACUAGAAACCAUUACUCCAAUGGACGUAAAGAAAAUAAUCUUAUAAGUUAUUUUUGGCAGAUGAAACAUUCAAAUGUUUCUCGGUUACUAGUUAACAAGACAUGGAAAAUGAGGAGGCGCAUGAGGAAAGCUAGUGGAAACCAGCACCGUCACCCUCAAACCUACAGGUCCAAAUAAACCCAGAGUGCUGCGUUAUAACCUGCCCAGGCUCCUCCCCAGGAGAUGCCAAGGCAGCAGAAAGUCUGAAACCAAGCCUGGAGGAGCUGCAGGAAGCGGGAAGAGGACAGCAGAAGAGGAACAACGGAGGAGGAGACAGAGAAUGGGAAAGACAGCUAAGCAGGGGAACAACAAUGCAGAAUAUGUCUGCUUGGCUGAAUUGCCAGGGGACGUGCUCAGACUUCGAUGAGUCUGCCAAGUCAGAAAUGUCCUCUGGACAAGCCUGAUUUUGCCCUUUUUGCCCCAACUGCCUGAUUCCCACACCCCAUCGCUCACUCUUCUUGGUGUUCCACUCCUCACCCAUGGCAAGGGCCACGUUUUCUAUUUCCACAACACCCAUUAUCUGCCACUGCACACAAGGGCCCUUGGAGAGUGUAAACUUUGAUGAAGAAGCCUGGGAAGGGGAAGAGUAGCCCCAACAAUUUGUCUAAAUCUCCACUCUGUAAAUUAGGGCAAGUGAAAGCUGGGGGCAUCGGGAACCGAGUACAAGCCAAGGCGGACCGUCCGCUGGUUGCAUCAGUGCAGCAGGAAGGUGUUUCAGAAGUGGUCUCUAGCCACGCCAUCCUCACUGUUAAGGUUUCUAAUACGACCCUCUGCUGGGGUGGACUCUAAUGUACUCACUGGAAAUCUAUCAAUGUCUGUCAGAGGCCCCUCAAAAGCAAGGGUUUGCCACAUGCCAGAGUCCCCUCCGCAGCUGUCUGUGCUUCCACCCUCCUCCUGGCCAGCUCUUCCCUGAAGUCAUCCCACCUCAGGCCAAAGGCCAGCCCAGUGUCACAGGUGCUCUAGGAGCCUGAAGAGGGAGCAGGACCCCCGGUGAGUUCAGCCAUAUUCCCAACCUGGUCCACAGUCUGGAAGACACCUACAGUCCAGGGAAAAGAGAAACUGAAACUAUAUAAAAUGAACAUAAGGAAAACUUGAGAACUGAGCUGUUUUAAAUAAAGCUCUCAAUUUCCAAUACAGAUGGCAGAUAGAACACAAUAUUUAACUUCCACUCCCUCCCUGAAACCCCACUAAAAUGUAAGGGAGGGUUUUUGUGUGUGUGUGUGGUGGGGGGGGUUGUUUUGUUUUGAUUUUUAAGCAUAAACUGUAACAAAAGAGAGGGAAGAUUACAGCAUCAAUAUUUUGA